UAUUUAGUCAUUCAAUAAUUUCAUAGUUCACAUCACCAUAUCACAAUAAAUUAAUAAAAAAAAAAAAUUCAAAUUCAAUAAACUGAAACAUCAUGAAAAUGUUCAACCAAAUCAUCCACCCUUUCUAAUGCAUUUCCUACAGUCUAUUAAUUAUACUCAAUAUAGGCUUACAGUACUCCUUUAUCCCAGUAAAAGUGCAGAAGUAAAAAACAAGGAAAUGUGCUAAAAACAUACUAUAAUAUUAAUUUUGAAUGUGAAAAUGUAGAGCCAGAAGUAAUUAUUAAAAUGACAAAGAUGGUGAGAUUGAGUUAAACAGAUCACAAGCACUUUUUCUUAGAACUGAGAAAAGUACCUCAACAAAUUGUCACAGAUUUAGCUUUAAGGCAGGAUAGCUUCCCAGUCCGGUGCACUUUUGAACGUUUUCGGUUUUAUUCUCGUACCUAUUUAGCCGAAGAUAACCAACUCAGUAAUACUAAUUUGUUUAACGUUUGCUAGCAAACAGUUGAGGCGCCAGGCCGCUAGCUAACACACUAUCCAAGUUAUCGACGGCAGGUGAUAUGCUGUGUUUUAUACCCCACAGGUUGUCUGUGGUAAAUUAAGAAAUCUUUUUUGUGCUUUCUCACAGUCGGACUCAGAUAACGCGACUUUUAUGUUUUGAGACGGUUGGCAGAUCUUAUUCAACAUCUCUCGCGCGCCACAGAAUCUACAGCAACAGGUAAUGUAAACCCACCCAUUCCCUAUAUUACAACCUUUAAACUUAUUGUUAAUAUUUAUUUAUGAUCCGCUUCGUAAGUUUCAUGUAGUAUAUCCUUGUAAUGCUAAUUCAGUUUACUAAAGCAGCCGAAGCCCCGGUGAACAGAGGCUCGAGGAUCGUUUAUGGCUGUUCUGCUAACGUUCGUUAACAUUUAAGACUGUUAUUUGCUCUUCACGUUUUCUAAUUUGAAACUCAUAAUAACAAUUUGUUGUCAUGCUUUUGAAAUUAAUCUUUUCAGAGCAAAGACGUUGAAAGGUGGUGUGAUAUCAACAUGGCUACAAUAAUAUGAGGCUGCAUUUUUUGGCUUUGAUGUCAUUCGAACUACGAUCUGGUGGGUCUUACUAUCUGUAAAGAAGAGUCUACCGAUGUUUUUAAGACACAAGAAAAAGGAGCUUGACCAGGUGCAGAAGGCAACACUCACCAUCAUUGCUGUUGAGGAGGAAGAGGGAACUUUUUACCUUUAACCCACUGGAUAUUUUGAUUGUCUUUGAAGAUGAGGUGAUGUCUGCCAAGUCAGUGCACUGCCUUUGGAGUACACUUAGUUCGUACAGAAAGUGCUGUUGAAUUACCUUUCUUACAUAAAAAUGAUCUACUCUGUUUCUGGUGGUGUUAGAACAUAGUUAUUUUAUAUUAUUAUUUUAAUUUUACAAACUUUUACAAUUUUAAAAUUGAAAUUUUUAAACAAACAUAUUUCCUUGUUUGU